ACACUGGCUUGAUUUACUGUAGCUUUGUAGUAAGUUUUGAAACUAGGAAGUGUGACUACUCCAUCUUUGUUCUUCUUUUUCAAGAUUGUUUGGCUCUUCUGGGCCCAUUGCACUUAACACCUAAAUUUUAGGAUCAACUUUGAUUUCUGCAAAAAAAAGGUAACUGGGAUUUUGAAAGGUAUUGUGCUGACUCUGUAAAUCAGUCUGGGAGAUAUUGCAUUUUAACAAUAUCAAUUGUUCCAAUCCAUGAAUAUGCACUGUCUUAACACUUAUUUAGAUCUUUAAUUUUUUUCAACAAAAUUUUAUACUUUUCAAUUUAAAAGUCUUGCAUUUUUUUGUUACAUAUUACUAAGUAUUUUAUUCUUUUAGAGAGUGGGAUGGGAAUAGGGCAAGUGAAAACACCACAAAACUCACUGUUUUCACAGAGAUUUAGUCAUUUUUAUUGAAUAAAUGCUCUUCCAAUUGUUGUAAAUUGUUAAUUUGCAAAGUUUUGAAACAACCAUUCUUGCCAGUGUUCUCACUUCUUUCAUGGAGGAGUGGAUUUUCUGAAUUUUUUCUGACAUACCAGAAAUCAGAACUGUCUAUUAUUUAUACCACUGUCUUAUUUUAGUUAUCUGCCUGGUCUCCGAGGACAUUUGAGACAUCAAGGCAGGUGACUCAAACAGAGAUGUAUGACACAGAAGUUCAUCAGGUCACCAGGCAUCGUCAUGGCCAACGAGGUUAUAUUAACAGAUAUAUUGGGUUAAAGUUACCAAUAUGGAGGCCACAGGUAGGGUAGUGUCAAGGAGUCAUACUAGGAGUUGUUCCUCAGUGAACUGAAAGUCAAAGAGCCAUGAAGUGGCCAAUAAUCAGGUUUGUUUCUUGAUAGAGGCUCAAACCAAGAGGAAUAUCAUUACACCCCAAAUCUAGGAGAGACAAAUGCAUCUCAAAUGUCAACAUUAAUCAAUUCAUAGUUGUGACCUGGAGCUCGGUGUUGAGAAGACUCUAAUCACAUGUGGGCUUAGUGCCAAUCACUGAAUCAAUCAAUCAGAUCAACUAGAAAAUAAUGGCCACUCAAAUAGGGUGAAAGAGGAGAUUAAAGGGAUUAUUUAGGGAACUAUGGACAGAGUUAAAGGAAGUUAAUUAGGAGGGUCUUGUACUAUAGGCCAGAAAUAGUGAUUGCUGCUCUGAAGCCUGAACAACCUUCAUUCAGCAGGAUUGAUUAAAGAAAUGAGGGUUUUAGUGACUGAUGUAGAGUGGUUUUGUUUUUUUUUUGGGGGGGGGCCACACCUGUGGCAUAUGGAGGUUCCCAGGCUAGGGGUCUAAUUGGAGCUAUAGCUGCCAGCCACAGCCACAGCCACAGCCAUGCCAGAUCUAAGCCAGAUCUGUGACCUACACCACAGCUCAUGGCAAUGCCAGAUCCUUCACCCAUUGAGUGAAGCUAGGGAUCAGACCUACAACCUCAUGGUUCCUAGUCAGAUUCGUUUCUGCUGCGCCAUGACAGGAACACCUAGAGUUCUUUUUUUGGCCACUUCUUGUACCAUAACUGAGGUAGGUUGUAAUAAAAUCCAUACUUUUACUUAAAAAUUUCAGAAUCUCUUGAUUGUAAAUGCUUGGGUAUAUUUUUAUAGGUGAACAAAUGCAAUUUAUUAUUAACUUCUAUCAAACAUUCCAACUCCAUCUAAUAUAUGAGAGAUUCUAAAUUACCAAGGAGCUGCACUAUAGAUUUAAUUAUCUUGCUGAAUCCUUACCACAAAUAAAUCAGCAUUGCAUUGUUUGAAAGCCCCCAAGACCACUCUCACUUCUGACACUAACUGCAAAUUUGAGGGUACCCAAGAUCCACCUCAGGUUCAAUAAUUUGCUAUGACCCGCGGAACUCACUAGAAGCUCUUAUACUCACAGUUAUAAUUUACUACAGUGAAAAGAUAGACAUUAAAAUCAGCAGAGACAAGAGGCACAUAGGCCAGUGUCAGGAGAGAUCUAAGCAUGACCUUCCAGUCUUCCCAGUGGAUUUGUGGACCCUGGUAGCUUCUCUUAGAAAUGCAUGAUAGAUACAUGAAGUAUUGCCAACUAUGACCCUUACCUGAGUUUUUGUGUCCAGAGUUUUUGUUGAGGUUGGUUGUAUAGUCAUGGUUAACUGUCUGUAUGGCUGACCUUAAUUCUCCAGCCCCUUCAGAGGUCAAACUAAUAUUGCAUGGUCCAAGACCUCCCACCAUAAGUCACGUGUUGCAUAGACCAUCUGGUGUUGUCUCCAGGUUCCCAAGUAAAUAAAGACACUCUUAUCAGGCAGGAUGUCCCAAGUAUCAGAAGUUACGUCACAGGAGCCAAGGGCAAAGGCUAGCUCCUUAGACAAGUUUAAUCCUUUACCACACAAGUAUGUAGAGUUAUAGAAUCGUAAUUUAAAAAACAGAAUGGGGGAUUCCUUCAAGCAGGCAGACAUCUGAUAGGGAUUUUCCUAUUGUCCUUGUAGCUCAUUGAUAUUUAGUGUAUGUAAGAACUAUUAUACACAAAAUUUUGCAUGCUGGACAUCCUGGAAUAUGUGAGGGAAUUUCAAGGGACUUUUUACUUUACGGCUUAACUUAUAAAAAUAUCUUGUCACUAUACCUAAUUCCCACCACAAUGAAAUACAUAAGCAGCUGCUGCUAUAAAGAAAUAAAAACAAAAGCAAACAAAAACACCCUAAAUAAAGAAAUUGUUUUUACAAAAGAAUAUAAUCUGGAAAUUGAACUUCUGCUACAGUUACAAUUUACAUUAUAGCCAUGAACAAGUUCCUGUUGUGGCUCAGCAGGUUAGGAACCCAACUAGUGUUCAUGAGGAUGCAGGUUUAAUCCCUGGCCUCACUCAGUGGAUUAAGGAGCUGGUGUUGCUAUGAGCUGUGGGGUCAAAUUGGAGCUGCAGCCACCAACCUAUGCCACUGCCAUAGUAACGCCCGAUCUGAGCCAUAUUUGUGACCAACACCACAGCUCACAGCAAUGUCAGAUCGCUGACCCACUGAGCAAGGCCAGGGAUUGAACUGCAUCUUCACAGACACCGGUUGGGCUCAUUUCUGCUGAGCCACAGCAGGAAUUCCCUGUCCUUAUUCUUGAAUUAGACUUUAGUUAAGCAUGGAAUUCUAUGUCGACCAUAAUUGCCUUCAGCAUUUUCAAGAUAUUACCCCACUAUCUUGCACCUAUUGUUGUGGGUGAGAAGUCCAUUGCCGUCAUGAUUGUCUUGCCUUUAUAGGCAAGAAUCUCUUUUCUCUAUUUGCUAUUAAAGCUUUUUCUCUUUACACCUGAUGUUUUGUGGUUUCACUAUUACGUGUCCAUUUCAUUUCAUUUUUCUAGCACAAAAUUGUUUGUUCCUUCAACUUGAAGGCUCUCAUUUUUCUUCAAUCCUAGAAAAUUCUCAACCAUUUUCUAGAAUAAGGUCCUGCUGCAAGCGAUACAAAGAAACAAGCAAAGCCCAGAAAACCUCUAAGUUAGUGUGGCUUAUACAAGAUAGAAAUUUCUUUCUCACAUAAAUUAGGUCUUCCAGGUAGUGUCUGAUGAUGUCAGGGGUUCAGGGACUCUUCUAUUUUAUUGAUCCACUAUCCUCAGCAAGCACAUUCUCUACUCAAACUUAAACUAUAACAUCUGCAUUCCAGUUGCUAGGAAGGAAGAAGUACAGAGACGUGCCUACCUCCUCCUUAUAAAUACAUUUCUGGCAGUUGUAACUGCUGUUUUAGUUGCAUCUCAUACAUAGUCAUAUGGUCAAUCUAGAUACAUGGGAAGCUGGCAAAUACUGUCUUUAGUUGGGCAGCUGAAUUCCCAGCUAAAACUGGGUGAUUCUAUGAAUAAGGCAGAGGGGAAGAUCGGUUCCUGGGAACAACUAGUAGUCUCAAGCAUAGCCAUUUUUAUGAUUGCAAAUUUCUCUCACAUAUUCUCUAUUAUGUCUCUCUGAAACUCUUAGUAAUGUUCUAUUCUCUUUGCCUCUUUUUAAUGUUAUUUUUGUGUUACUUUCUGUGAGAGUUCUUCAGCUCUUAUUCCAAUUUACUGAUUUCCUUCCUUCCUUCCUUCCUUCCUUCCUUCCUUCCCUCCUUCCUUCCUUCCUUUCUUUCUUUCUUCACCAUGCCUGCAGCAUAUGGAAGUUUCCAGUCCAGGAAUUGAAUCUGAGCCAUAGCUGUGAUCUACGCUACAGCUGUGGCCAGAUCCUUUAACCCACUGCUCCAGGCAAGGGAUCAAACCUGUGACUCCAUAGCAACCCAAGCUGCUGCAGUCAAAUCCCAAACCUACUGUACCACAGCAGGAACUUCAAAUACCUUCUCUCUCUUUUUAUUUUUGGCUGUACCCACAGCACAUGGAAGUUUUAGGUUCAGUUUUUUUAGUAUAGUUUUUAUUCUCUUAUGUCUCAAAUCAUUCAAGAAUACUUACUUCAUAGUCUCUUUGCUCUGUAUCUGUAAUUCUUGGGGGAUAAAUUCUGCUAACUUCUUCCCAUAGAAGACAUAGAUAUAUAGAUACAGAUAUACAACAUAUACACACGUAUGUAUGUAGAUAUCUGUAUAUAUGUGUAUGUGUGUGUACGCACAUGUGUAUUUUUUUCAUCUCAUCUUGGGUAUUUCUAUGUUUCAUGGGUGUAGGAUUGUAAAGUUUAUGAUGGAGCAAUUUUGUUUUGUCUCUACCAGUGUCCUUCACGUUUCCCUGGUUCAAACCAGUUUUUCUGUUGCUACCUCAGUUUGAGUUUCCUGCACUGUUCAUGAAUACACAUUUGGCCCCUACUCUUGCGUAUAGCUCAGUUUGGGAGGUAUUUCAUGUGGGUGGUAAUCAGUCACUUUCUCCCCUAAUUCUCAGGCUAAUGGGAGGAUAUAUUCUAAAAUACUUUUCACAGCACAAAAGCUAUUCUGGAAUCCUGGUUCUAUGCUCAGCUCCAACUCCACUGCUCUUGGGAUCUCAAUUCCCCUUCCAGCUCAGCUCAGCUAUUAAAAUCCCAGGUCCUGGAGUUCCUGUAGCAGUUCAGUGGAAAUGAACCCAACUAGUAUCCACGAGGAUGCAGGUUCAAUUGUUCUAUCCCUGGCCUCAUUCAGUGGGUUAAUGAUCCGGUAUUGCUGAGAGCUGUGGUGUAGGUUGAAGUCAUGGCUCAGAUCAAGCACUGCUGUGGCUGUGGCAUAGGCUGGCCCCCAGCCUGGGAAUUUCCAUAUGCCAUAGUUCUAGCCCUUAAAAAAGAAAUUAAAAAAAAAAAAAAGGAAAAAAAAA
rnacentral:lncRNA from 1 species